rnacentral:misc_RNA from 1 species
GAUGAAGAACGUAGCGAAAUGCGAUAAGUAAUGUGAAUUGCAGAAUUCAGUGAAUCAUCGAAUCUUUGAACGCACAUUGCGCCCGCCAGUAUUCUGGCGGGCAUGCCUGUCCGAGCGUAAUUUCAACCCUCGAACCCCUCCGGGGGGUCGGCGUUGGGGACCUCGGGAGCCCCUAAGACGGGAUCCCGGCCCCGAAAUACAGUGGCGGUCUCGCCGCAGCCUCUCCUGCGCAGUAGUUUGCACAACUCGCACCGGGAGCGCGGCGCGUCCACGUCCGUAAAACACCCAACUUCUGAAAUGUUGACCUCGGAUCAGGUAGGAAUACCCGCUGAACUUAAGCAUAUCAAUAAGCGGAGGA